UGGGGAAUUUUCCGCAAUGGGCGAAAGCCUGACGGAGCAAGACCGCGUGAGGGAGGAAGGCCUACUGGUUGUAAACCUCUUUUGAUAGGGAAGAACACAAUGACGGUACCUAUCGAAUCAGCCUCGGCUAACUCCGUGCCAGCAGCCGCGGUAAUACGGAGGAGGCAAGCGUUAUCCGGAAUUAUUGGGCGUAAAGCGUCCGUAGGUGGUUGUCCAAGUCAGUUGUUAAAGCGUAGAGCUUAACUCUAUAACGGCAAUUGAAACUGGUCAGCUAGAGUGCGAUAGGGGCAAGGGGAAUUCCCAGUGUAGCGGUGAAAUGCGUAGAUAUUGGGAAGAACAUCGGUGGCGAAAGCGCCUUGCUGGGUCUGCACUGACACUGAGGGACGAAAGCUAGGGGAGCGAAAGGGAUUAGAUACCCCUGUAGUCA
rnacentral:rRNA from 1 species